AGUCGAGGGGUAUUUAUCUUCGGAUAGAGAGACCGGCGCACGGGUGCGUAACGCGUAUGCAAUCUACCUUUCACAGAGGGAUAGCCCAGAGAAAUUUGGAUUAAUACCUCGUAGCAUAACGACCUGGCAUCAGGAUGUUAUUAAAGUCACAACGGUGAAAGAUGAGCAUGCGUCCCAUUAGCUAGUUGGUAAGGUAACGGCUUACCAAGGCUACGAUGGGUAGGGGUCCUGAGAGGGAGAUCCCCCACACUGGUACUGAGACACGGACCAGACUCCUACGGGAGGCAGCAGUGAGGAAUAUUGGACAAUGGGCGCAAGCCUGAUCCAGCCAUGCCGCGUGCAGGAUGACGGUCCUAUGGAUUGUAAACUGCUUUUAUACGAGAAGAAACACUCCUACGUGUAGGAGCUUGACGGUAUCGUAAGAAUAAGGAUCGGCUAACUCCGUGCCAGCAGCCGCGGUAAUACGGAGGAUCCAAGCGUUAUCCGGAAUCAUUGGGUUUAAAGGGUCCGUAGGCGGUUUGGUAAGUCAGUGGUGAAAGCCCAUCGCUCAACGGUGGAACGGCCAUUGAUACUGCCAGACUUGAAUUAUUAGGAAGUAACUAGAAUAUGUAGUGUAGCGGUGAAAUGC
rnacentral:rRNA from 1 species